rnacentral:rRNA from 1 species
ACCUACGGGGCGCAGCAGUGAGGAAUAUUGGUCAAUGGGAGAGAUCCUGAACCAGCCAAGCCGCGUGAGGGAAGACGGCCCUAUGGGUUGUAAACCUCUUUUGUCGGAGAACAAAACCCGGGACGUGUCCCGGACUGCGUGUAUCCGAAGAAAAAGCAUCGGCUAACUCCGUGCCAGCAGCCGCGGUAAUACGGAGGAUGCGAGCGUUAUCCGGAUUUAUUGGGUUCAAAGGGUGCGCAGGCGGACAGUCAAGUCAGCGGUAAAAAUGCGGUGCUCAACGCGGUACAGCCGUUGAAACUGGCAGU